UACGUAGGGGGCGAACGUUAUCCAGAUUUACUGGGCGUAAAGCGCGUGUAGGCGGCCCUGCAAGUCGGAUGUGAAAUCCCACGGCUCAACCGUGGAAGUGCAUUCGAAACUGCAGGGCUAGAGUCCUGGAGAGGAAGGUGGAAUGCUUGGUGUAGAGGUGAAAUUCGUAGAUAUCAAGCGGAACACCGGUGGCGAAGGCGGCCUUCUGGACAGUGACUGACGCUGAGACGCGAAAGCGUGGGGAGCAAACAGG
rnacentral:rRNA from 1 species